AGGAAAGAAGAGUUACCCAUGUGUUGCCUCAGAAACAUCUCUCUCAGUAAUAAUAUUCCUAACUCAUUAAUUUGCUCCAAUCAAAUCUGAUAGAAAGGAAUUGCACAGCAGAUUGAACUCAAGAGACAUCUGAUCUAGCAGUCAGAUGGAGGCUGAUAUCAGCUAUUUCAGUGGAAGGUGCAAAAAUCAGCUCUCAGUAGACAUCAGGUCCUCUCUGCAUCAAAAUCUUAGAAUCAUAAAAUUAUCUAGGUUGCAAAGGAUCUUGAAGUUUAUGGAGUCCAACCAUUAACCAAGCACUGUCAAGUCCACCACAAAGCCAGGUAAGUAAG